GAUGAACGCUGGCGGCGUGCCUAAUACAUGCAAGUCGAGCGAACAGAUAAGGAGCUUGCUCCUUUGACGUUAGCGGCGGACGGGUGAGUAACACGUGGAUAACCUACCUAUAAGACUGGGAUAACUUCGGGAAACCGGAGCUAAUACCGGAUAACAUAUUGAACCGCAUGGUUCAAUAGUGAAAGGCGGCUUUGCUGUCACUUAUAGAUGGAUCCGCGCCGUAUUAGCUAGUUGGUAAGGUAACGGCUUACCAAGGCAACGAUACGUAGCCGACCUGAGAGGGUGAUCGGCCACGCUGGAACUGAGACACGGUCCAGACUCCUACGGGAGGCAGCAGUAGGGAAUCUUCCGCAAUGGGCGAAAGCCUGACGGAGCAACGCCGCGUGAGUGAUGAAGGUCUUCGGAUCGUAAAACUCUGUUAUCAGGGAAGAACAAAUGUGUAAGUAACUGCGCACAUCUUGACGGUACCUGAUCAGAAAGCCACGGCUAACUACGUG
rnacentral:rRNA from 1 species